UAGCUGGGAUUACAGGCGUGCACCACCAUGCCCAGCUAAUUUUUGUACCGUUAGUAGGGAUUGGGUUUCAUAAUGUUGGCCAGGGUGGUCUUGAACUCCUGACCUCAUGAGCUGCACUCCUCGGCCUCCCAAAGUGUUGUGAUUACAGGUGUGAGCCACUGCGCCCAGCCCACAUAUACCUUUUAAAGAAAGUUUAGCACUUCAGGUUUGCAAAAUUUCAUGUCCUGAUUUUAAAUUUAUUAAUUUAUUCUUUUUAACUUUUAUUUUAGGUAUGGGAGUACACGUGAAGGUUUUUUCCAUAGGUGAAUUUGUGUCACAAGGGUUUGUUGUACAGAUUAUUUCAUUACCCAGGGAGUGUAUGGCAAACGCACCUGAUAGCAGUAACUUAAGCAUACCCUGAGAAUGACCCUGUACCGCAGACACACCUGAAUGUGUGUUCCAAGCUAGGGAAUCCGGAAGUGGCCAGCGCAGAGAUUUGUUCCUUGUCCAUGAGGAACAGGCCUUUUGCAAGCAGUUGCAGUUCUUCUGCCCAGUCCGCCAUUGCUGUAUUGUACCUAAGAUGGUUCUCCUGUCCAGUCUGCUGCCACUGGACAGUGCAGUUAUCUUAUCUAGCCCAUCGCCACUGGACUCUCCCCUGUAUGUAAGCCCCCAAUAAAACUCCAUGUC